UACGGGGGGGGCAAGCGUUGUUCGGAAUUACUGGGCGUAAAGGGCUCGUAGGCGGCCAACUAAGUCAGACGUGAAAUCCCCAGGCUCAACCUGGGAACUGCGUCUGAUACUGGAUGGCUUGAAUCCGGGAGAGGGAUGCAGAAUUCCAGGUGUAGCGGUGAAAUGCGUAGAUAUCUGGAGGAAUACCGGUGGCGAAGGCGACUACCUGGCCUGUUCUUGACGCUGAGGCGCGAAAGCUAGGGGAGCAAACGGG
rnacentral:rRNA from 1 species